AUGGCGGACGCAAAUGCGGAGUCCGUGCAGCAAAAGAUCCAGAUAGCUCGUCGUGAUGCGGAAGCGCUCAAGGAUCGAAUAAAGCGUAAGAAGGAUGAGCUCGCCGACACGACAUGUGAGUCUGCUCGUCCAUACACUGUAUCGCCGCCGCCAUUGCUUCGGCUGGGCUGACCAACCAUUGUAUAGUACGUGAGGUCGCGCGACAACGGACCGAGCCCAUCCCACGUUUAACAAUGAAAACCAAACGCACACUCAAAGGACAUCUUGCCAAGAUAUAUGCGAUGCACUGGUCGACCGAUCGGAGACACCUGGUCUCGGCUUCGCAAGACGGCAAGCUGAUCAUCUGGGAUGCAUACACGACCAACAAGGUCCACGCCAUCCCGCUGCGGUCAUCUUGGGUCAUGACUUGCGCCUAUUCACCCAGCGGAAACUUUGUCGCUUGUGGAGGACUCGAUAACAUCUGCUCGAUUUACAACCUUUCCGCACGAGAUGGACCAACAAGAGUGGCUCGCGAGCUGAGUGGGCAUUCUGGCUAUCUGAGCUGCUGUCGUUUCAUUAACGACCGGCGCAUCCUUACAUCCUCCGGCGACAUGACCUGCGUGCUGUGGGACAUCGAGACCGGGCAGAAGAUCACGGAAUUCGCAGAUCACCUCGGUGAUGUGAUGAGUCUAAGCAUAAACCCGUUGGAUAACAACCAAUUCGUGUCAGGAGCGUGUGACGCGUUCGCCAAGCUCUGGGACAUUCGCCAGCAAAAGUGCAGUCAAACAUUCGCCGCCCAUGAUUCGGACAUCAACGCGAUCCAGUUCUUCCCGAACGGCAAUGCUUUCGGCACCGGCUCGGACGAUGCCUCGUGUCGUCUAUUCGAUAUACGCGCUGACCGCGAGCUCCAGAGUUACACGGUAAGCGUUUGCUACUGCCAAUAAUCUUGACCGCCACAGACUGAUCCCUCGCAGGUUGGUGAGCCUGGUUGUGGCAUCACCUCGGUCGCGUUUUCAGUCUCUGGAAGACUGCUUUUUGCGGGAUACGAUGAUUUCGAGUGCAAGGUAAUACGCCACAAGUUCACCGAGGUCAUCAUCUACAGCACUGACACGCACCCAGGUUUGGGAUGUCCUCCGUGGCGAGCGGGUCGGCAACUUGCAAGGUCACGAUAAUCGCGUGAGUUGUCUUGGUGUAAGCAAUGAUGCCAUGUCGUUGUGCACGGGCUCCUGGGAUUCGAUGGUUCGUACAACUUGCCUUGCCCGAUCUAAGUGUCUGUGUAAUUGACUUCCCGUGAUGCAGCUCCGCAUCUGGGCAUGAUCCUCCUCAUGCUUGUCGGACCAGGCACGACCGAUCGAGACGUACAAUAAUACUGGGAUGCUCCAAGGAGAACACGAGACACACACGAAGACGCAGACCACCAGAAAAAGAUCUUUUUCACCACCACACGUCAACCCAGGGCCGCGUCACCUGAUUUGUUAGAGCGACCCUCUUGACUUUACAAGUCCCGUACUUGAACACCAUUACCUUUUGACAGGGCUAGGCUUGCUCAUCGCCGUCGCUCUCUUCUUUCAUUCUCUAUUUUUCACUCUGACCAUUGUUCUGAUCAGCGUUCCUGUACGAUCCCGCUCCGGCGACCGAUGUGCGCCUUGCCGGAGAGGGAGAGAAGAGAGGAAGGGGAGUGAAUAUGUGUGGGUUGUGUAUGUCUGUGUAAGGGAGAGAAGUGCGAAUGAGAGUGAAGACGAAGAUGGAGCGCCCUCCUUUUAUUACAUGCACAAAAAGCAGCAGACGAGAUCGUGAGAAAAUAGCAGACCAACACCGCCAUCAACCAAAAGAGCUCCGGUCCUUUUGCCUUUUUAAUGUCCUCCUCUCGUUGUCGCGUCUCGUUCAUACCGCCCCUCCCACCCCUGACGCCUUGACGUUUUUCGUCCACCAGGGCUGUCGAGAUGACCUGAUAUGUGACUUCCAAGCUGUCGCGAGAGACUCCUUGGGAAAGACUUGAUUCGUUUCACAUGUUUGUGACGGAUUUAGUUUACAUGAUCAAGCCAAAAAUAAAGUGUCUGUCUUGCACAUAGGUACCGUAAGGUACCUAUUCUUCCCUCCUGACUUUGUUAGAUACGUCAGCUUAGCUAGGUAUGUAACUGUAGCUGUUCUACUGCACAGUACUUACCUUACAAUACCUUAUGUACUCUAUUGUAAUUCGUCGGAGACAGCCGGCCCCCCCCCCCCCCCCCCCCCCNCCAUGCCGUCCUCUUUCGCGCGUCUGUUUUUGCUGGAUACUCCGCUCCGCUCCCGGGGACGGACGGGCGCGCGCAUCAUUUUUCAUACCGUGCAUGAAUUAAUUCGGCAUUCUUUCUUCUUUUUGUAUACAGUAUGUAGGGCGACCAGUCCUUCGAUUCAUCAACCCGCCCGAUUUUUGUUGAGAUGUUGAGUCAUUUUGGUUGUUUUUUUGCGGGUUAACGGUUGCGAAACCGACAAGGUGGGAAGAGGGGGUUUGAUUACUAAGGUAGCUGGAGUUCAUCUCGAUGAUGAUCAGCAAAUCACGUGAUUUAACCAUCGUCCCUUGGUCUGUAGAAGAUGGUUUUUGGGUUCCGAGGAUGAUGGGAGGGAAGCAAGUACAUGACUCUGUCGUCGACGAGCGUUUGAUAGCCAUAUUUGAGUGACGUAGAGUCCUUGUUUGCGAGAAAAGAUGGCUUGUGCUUGAUAGGUAACUUACCUUACCUUACCCUUGGGAAGGGAUUUUAGGGGAAUUCCUGUACGGGGGUUGCGAAUUCGUUUGGCCUUUGCGUCGUCCUUGCUUCGAGCAUUUUUAUAUCAUUAAAUUGUUAUCGUCGAUAUUACCUACACAAAGCACUUUGAUCGGCCAGCGAAAGGUUUAAUGAUGAGUUCUUGUCAUCUAAACUGAGAAUUGAAGGAGUUCUCUUCGAAGAUAGUCAUCGUCCGGGGCCGAGCGGAUUCCGUCCUCGAUCAACGAUGGCGGCUGCCGUGGACGAGUUCGACGAGUUGAUGCGCGACAAGGACCGGCGAGGUACGCACCCGGAAGACUAUGACGACGACGAGCGACAGUACACAUCUGAUGACGGGGAUGAUCGUCACGCCCGGACUGCAAAAGACUAUGAUGGCGAGGACGACGACGACGACGACGAGACCACAUUCUCCCGGCCGUCCGUCAGUCUCGCCCGUCACACCAUCCCUCGUACCCGGCUCCAAGCCAACACCGGGCCCAAGGGCGUCAUCGCCGACGCGCAGGACUUCCGCGAUUCGCGGAGAGUGCACGUGCGCCACUCGCUGCAGCUGGCGCGAGAGGAGCUGCUGAGACAUGCAGGGGUUUUCAAUGAGGAGUCAUCGUUGUCGUCGCUGCCACUUCCGCCCGCUGCUGACGAUGAACUUGACGAGGACGACCACGAUGAUGAUGACGACGACGACGACGAAUUUCUGCGCAGCUGGAGAGACCGACGACUGGAGCAAUUGGCACAGCGAGGAGCGGCGAUGCAGGAGCGGCCGCGCGAGAGGCAGGCAUGGGCUGGAAGGCUGAAUACGGUGGACGGGGAGGGGUAUUUGAACGCGGUGGAGAAGAACCUCCCCGGGACGGUGGUCGCGGUGUACAUCUACGACGACGAGGUGAGUGCUAUUGCUGCUGCUGCUACUAUGACCCGGAUCACCCCUUUACGCCGGAUCUCGUGCUGACUUGAAACACGAUGUCUACAGUCGGACGUCAGCGUCGAGCUGGAAGACUGUGUGCGCCAGCUGGCGCGCCAGCACCCGGAGACGCGCUUCGUGCGCUUGCACUACCUCGACGCGGAGAUGGAACCUGCGGGCGUGCCGGCGCUGCUGGCGUACCGUGACGGCGAGAAGUUCGCCGGCCUGGUCCCGCUCAUCAUGGAGAUCCCCGACGAUGCAGAUGUCAGCGCAGGCACGCUUGAAGUGCUGCUGAGAAGGUGUGUAUUUCUCAUUCUCACUGUUCUUCGCUACGAGAUCUGCUUAGGAUGGCGACUGACGAGGAUGCCCGCUAGACACCAGAUCCUCCGCUGA
rnacentral:sRNA from 1 species